rnacentral:tRNA from 1 species
UCCUUGGUAGUCUAGUGGUUAAGACUCUGCGCUGCCACUGGGGGUACAGGUUCGAUCCCUGGUUGAGGAA